AUGAAUGUGGCGCUCAUGUUGAGAUGGGUUUGGCGCAUCCUACGUGGUGAGGGAGGACUAUGGCCCCAGCUCAUUCAAGCGAAAUAUCUGAAGGGUGAACCGUUAUUAGCUUGCAACUGGAUGGAAGGCUCACAAUUCUGGCACGCCAUCCAAAGGAUCAAGGAGGAAAUCCACCUAGGGAUCUCCUUCUCAUUAGGGAACGGGAAGGGGAUCCAAUUC
rnacentral:rRNA from 1 species